AUACGGAGGGUGCAAGCGUUAAUCGGAAUUACUGGGCGUAAAGCGCGCGUAGGCGGAUUAGUAAGUCGGAUGUGAAAGCCCUGGGCUUAACCUGGGAAUUGCAUUCGAAACUGCUCGACUAGAGUAUGGUAGAGGGAAGUGGAAUUUCCGGUGUAGCGGUGAAAUGCGUAGAUAUCGGAAGGAACACCAGUGGCGAAGGCGACUUCCUGGGCCAAUACUGACGCUGAGGUGCGAAAGCGUGGGGAGCAAACAGGAUUAGAUACCCGAGUAGUCC
rnacentral:rRNA from 1 species